AUUGAACGCUGGCGGCAUGCUUUACACAUGCAAGUCGAACGGUAGAGGGGGCAACCCCUUGAGAGUGGCGAACGGGUGAGUAAUACAUCGGAACGUGCCCAGUCGUGGGGGAUAACGCAGCGAAAGCUGUGCUAAUACCGCAUACGAUCUCUGGAUGAAAGCGGGGGACCGAAAGGCCCCGCGCGAUUGGAGCGGCCGAUGUCAGAUUAGGUAGUUGGUGGGGUAAAGGCCUACCAAGCCAACGAUCUGUAGCUGGUCUGAGAGGACGACCAGCCACACUGGGACUGAGACCCGGCCCAGACUCCUACGGGAGGCAGCAGUGGGGAAUUUUGGACAAUGGGCGCAAGCCUGAUCCAGCAAUGCCGCGUGCAGGAAGAAGGCCUUCGGGUUGUAAACUGCUUUUGUACGGAACGAAACGGUCUGGGUUAAUACCCUGGGCUAAUGACGGUACCGUAAGAAUAAGCACCGGCUAACUACGUGCCAGCCGCCGCCGUAA
rnacentral:rRNA from 1 species